CCACCGUCUUGCAGCUCCUCGUGUGGACACAGUCCACCUUCCUAGACUGGAAGCCCUGACCACAGGCUGACGUACAGGGCCUCCAAGGGCCUGCGUGCCAACAUGUGUCACAAGCCCGCGACGAGCAGUUCCUCCAAAAGGAAACUCAUCUGCAUUGUUCCUGGCUGACUAAGCAAAGCGGUGGAGGAAUCACAACCUCAAUAGAGGCAAGCAAACCAUGUGUUUCCGUGAACCUCUGGCACCACAUCAAGGCACGCAUCUCAAAAGACACACUCUCCUGAUGAGCUGGAGCAGAUCGAUUUAAGGAAGAGAAGAAAGACACAUUUGUUAACAAACUGUUCUGUGAUGGUUAAUUUUAUGUGUCAUUUCUCACCCAUACCUGAUCAGGUGAAAUUUAAUGAGGCUUUGGACUUGGAAUCGGUGUUGGAAUGGGUUAAGACCUCUGGGGAUAUUGAGAUGGGCCGCGAAGCAUGUGGGAUCUUGGUCCCCGACAAGGGAUCCAACCUGCACCCCCUGCACUGGAAGGCAAAAUCUUAACCACUGGACCACCAGGGAAGUCUCUUUUUUAAUUUUUUUUGAUGCAUGGGUUUCACCACAGGGAGUGUAUGAUUAUAGUAAAUGAUCAUACUUUCAAAACACUAGAUUUGUCAGCAUUACCUGGUUCCCUGGUUCAAUAAGCCCUGGAACACACGGGUGACUGGAGCAGGGGCUUCUUCCCAGAGGCCUCUCUCUGGGGGCACAUGCUCUCGGAGGCAUCACCUGUACAGUCCCAUUGGCUCUUGUCCGCUUACAGGUCACUUGCCGACUGCGGAAUCCUUCACCACAAGACACAGAGCACUCUGACCAUGUGCCUGUGAACCACCUAAGAACAAAAACUACAGGAGCUUAGUAAGGACUGGUAGGACAGAUCCAACAGGGAGUGCCUUCCAAAGGAAAAAUUGAUCCUAAGAUGAUGCCUGUUUCAGGGCCCUCACACGUCUCUCUGGAAACGGGCAGCAGCACAGAUAACUCCCAGCCAUAUGCUCAGAUUUUCUUUUACUCAGAGAAGCAACAGAAUCACCACGUAGAGACAAGCAACAUAGGGGUGGGAUAGAGCCGUCUUCAAGUAUGUAAGGAGCCAUGACUUGUGUGGCUUCAUAGAGUACAGCUAGGGCAAAAUUAGGUGGAAACUUCAAAAAGGUGGAUUUCAACUCACUGAAAGCAAAGGGAAUAUUACUGGAUAUUACUAAAUCACCUAUGUGCUCUUUGUGGUCUGAGACGUUCGCAUGUUUUCUAAUGUAAUUGUCAUCUUGUUCCCAUUCUUGCAAUGAGGACAGCGAUGUCCACAAGGUUAAAUAGCUAUGGUCCCAUAACUAACAUGCCAAGAAAGCUGGGACUGCUUCUAGAUUUAUCUGACCCUAAAGUUCAUAAUGAUUAUAGAAGACUGAACUUGGAAGUGGACACCUUGGAGAUAUUGGGUGCUCUGUCACUCAAGAUGUUCGAGCUGCCACCAGGAUACUGAAGAGUAGGGGUUCCUAACCUGAGCCCCAUUGUUCUGCCAGGGAACCAUGGACUUGGAUGGGAAAAGGAUUACAUCUUCAUUGCCACUAAGCUCUAACGGCAAUUGUAUUGCCUUCAAUUGUAAAAAUGUAGGCAACAUCAUCUAGUAGUAAUAGCAAUACCUGUGAUUUUGUUAGCAAUAGAAAUCAUAGCUGCUUUCACAUGACAUGAAAAUUGUGGCAGACAUCCAAAACAGCAGUUAUAUUCAUCACCAUUUCAAAAUCAAUUGUACUAGUAGAUCCUGUUAUUUAGUGUGUUAAGAGAGAAGCAAAUUUCCUACUACAUCACACAUUUGAAACUACUUCAGUAACUAUUUCAAUAUAAUUAAUUGGAUUCCUCUGUAGUCAAGUAUAUUUUAUUUUUAUAGAUUUAAAACCCUUGAUUGAGAAGGGAGCCAUAGGCUUCCCUAGACUAUGGAGGGAUCCGUGGCACUGAAAUGUGAAGGACCCCUGAUGUAGAGGGAUCUAGGGUUAGAUGAUCUCUACUGUUUCUUCUAGGUAUGAAAGUGUAUGACAGUUUUUUCUAGGAGUGGCUAAAGGCUUGAGAGUACUUAAUAAAUAAGGAUAAAUUUCCCAAUGUGAAUUCUCAUUGUGAGAAUCAACAAUUGAUAUAAACCAGUUUUCUUGGAUCAAAUUCCUCCUAGUUAUUCUAGCAUCAGUUUGCUGCUUCCUGAGGGACAGAUGACUCUUGCACAAGCUCUUCCUUUGAAGGAUAGGAAGAGCUCAUGCAAGAGUCAAGGUGCCUACGGCACUGCACAAGAGGUCAAGGUGCCCACGGUAUCCACGGCUCUUCUAAUAACGUGUUCCGAGGCAUCUCUUUUGUUUCACGGUGUGACCAUGCCUCCCACUUCUCCUCCAAGGCACAGAUCAUGGAUCCGGGGUGGGCAUUUGCACAGAGCAGUGAGCUGUACAACAUUAUGUACACCUCCGAUUCCUCCUCAGUAAAAUGAGGUUGAUUAAUAGUGUCUGCCUCACAGGUCUGUGCUCAGUAAGUACUACUACUCUUUGGUUUUUGUCUUGGUUUUUUGUUUGUUUGUUUUUACUGUGAAUUUUGGCAUUGUGAACAAAAAUAUUGCCUGCCAUGUCAGUAAACAAAGGAUGUUGCAGCCAUCAAGCCAUCACAUUACAGCUGCCCUGAUGGUGCACCACCCCGAGGAGACUCAGGAUGAGAAAGCACAGGACACCGGCCCCAGAUAGUGGAGGUGCACAUCAAAGGAAUGAUUUCGGAAGCACUUGAAGGACAACAAGAAUUUGACGCUUACCCAGCAAGUGGAGGAUGGAUGUUGCCAUCGCCUUUCCAAGAGCAUUGGUGGCUGUACAGACAUAGGUUCCUUCACUUUCAAGGGAAACAUUCUGCAACAACAGGGAUCCAUUGAAAAGCAAGGAAAUAUUGUCACUCAGAGAUCCUCCUUUCUUCAACCAAGUUACAUUAGGUUGAGGGACACCUUUGGAAGAAAAACAAAUAUGACAAAGGCAAACUCCUUUAAGAAUAGGGCCACAGGACCAUAUGCAAAUACCAUUUAGCAUUUUGACCACAAGUCAGGAAAUGGGUUUAAUCACAUAUAAUAGGAAAAACGGCUCUUUCUAUUUCUAUAGCUCCUCUGUGGCAGAUGGGGGAUGCUGCUGAAGCAAAGGGCUUUGGUCUGCUGAGCACCAGGUUGGUUUAUGUAUAUAAGUCAAGGAAUAGGAGCCAAAGAGGGUGGGCUUGCUCUGUAUUGGGAAGGGAGAGAAAUUUGAAGUUGAAUGGGGGUAACGGGAAAGUGGUUGGAAAAGAGGAGCUGAUCAAGCCGGAUGAAUGUGGAGGCAGAGACACAGAGAAAUUCCUAGCAGUGGGUUGUCACAAAGAAGCCUUUUGGAAACAAAAAUAUCGAAUAUGGAUGUUUAAGUGGUUCACUGUGCAAAAGGCAAUGCAACGUUCCUCCCUUCAGGUGGAAUACAAAAUCUUUAGGGAAGUAGAUUUUGUUCAUCCAUGCUUUUGUGAAAGAGGAUAAUUUCAGGGAACAAAAAGAAGUGUUGCAUUUUAAGUUUGGGUCAACGUAGAGGUGAGCAGACUGUAAGCAACAUCUCUGGACACAGAGGAGCGUGAGGAAUUGAAAGAAUUUCUGCCCCCACAUCUUGAGAAAUCUUAGCCGUUUGCUGGGCUGUGGGAUGUGAAACUAAGAGGAAUCUCAUUUCGUUCUUAAGAGCUGGGGCAGCCUCCAGUGAUCCAGCAGGAUUACUGGUUUUGAGGAUGUCCUUUCUUCCUGCAAUGCUCUGGCUAGAGAGGCUAUGGCAGACAUGGCAAGGCUUUCUGACAAGAAAGAGAUGUCAUCGCUCUAAUCGUGACAUCUGCAAUGCACCUUACAAGAGGCAAAACACAUGCUCCAUGAACACUGAGACACUUUCUCACGGUUAUUCCCAACUCCUGGGAAGCAGUCAUUGUUAGCUCUGUCUUACAGCUGAGGAAGCUGGUCAAGUCAAAACUAGCUCAGAACCUAAAUACACGGAGAAGUGCUAAUCACAAGUGCAUAUAUAUAGUUUUGUAGUUUCUUCUACAAAUAUAAACACAUGUAGUUUCUUCUAGUUUCUUCUACAAAUAUAAACACAUGUAGUUUCUUCUACAAAUAUAAACACAUAUAAACUUUUCUAAGGUCAACAGCUAGUAAACACUGGAUCUGAGAUUCACACCCACGCAGUUUACUCCAGAACUUACCUUUUAACCACAAUGUAGGUAGGUCUUAUAUAUUUCUUGAUAGAUUUAUUCCUAGGCAUCUUAUACUUUUUAUGGCCAUAGUAAGCAGGCUCUUUUAAAAUAUAUUUUAUAGUUGUUUAUUCCUGACAAUUAGGAAAGCAAUGAACACUCGCGUCUUUAUCUUGUAUCUAAUCAUCUUACUAAAGUUUAUUAUUUUGAAUAGUUUUCAAAUGAUUUUGUUUUUUAAAUGUAAACAAUCACAUCACUUAUAUGUAAUGACAAUUUUAUCUUUUUUUUCCUAUAUUUAUACCUAUAAUUUCUAUUAACUAUUGCAUUGUAUUAGCUAAUGUCUCUAGAACAAUGCUGAAUCAUGUUACAGCAGGCAAAUUUGCCUUGUUUCCAGCUUUAAAGGGAACAUUACUAAUGUUUCAUCCUCAAGCACGUUGUUUGCUUUUGUUUUCUGUUAGCUGUUGUCAAAUCAAAGAAAUUUCCUUCUGUUUCUAACUCACAUGGAAAUUUCUAAACCUUUGAGCUAAUAUUUAGUUUAUUUUAAUUGGAUUUUUUAAAAAUUAAAGUAUUUAAAGUUAUUAAUUUUCCUUUGAGUACAGCUUUGACUAUAUAUAUUUUGAGAUGAAAUAAACCAUUACCAUUAUUUCACUCAUUCAAAAAUGUUUACAAAGUGCUUAUUAUAUGUGAGACUUUAUGCUGGUGCUAAGGAUAUGUGAACUAAGUUUCCUUAAGAAACUUGAUUUUAGAAGCCUUAAUUUUGUGGUCUUCUAGGAUCUUAAGAUGGAAGAUUGUCAAUAAAUGGGGUAGGCUUAACCUGUCUGAUUCUCGAGUGCCUUCUCCAAGCUCCCUGAGAAGUCCCAGCCUUAAUUUUUAAAUUUUAAUUCCCUCCUUUGGAGGGAAACAGAUGAUUGCAAUAAAAGGACACGAGGGCUUAUGAUAAACGUAAACACUGGAUGCCACUGGCACGUAAAAGCUGUAUUUAAUGCAGACUGGAGAGAGGGGAAAGAUUCUCACAUGAAGGAACAUCUAAGCUAAUACUUUAGGACAAGUAGAAACAUGUCAGGUGAAGGGGGUGGAUGUGGUGGUGAGACUGUUUUAGCUAGAGGGAACAGCGUGCAAAAAGGCACAGACACGAAGGAAAAUAUAGUGCAUUUGGGGAAUCAUAAAUUGCUUUUUUAUGACUGGAGCUUAAAGUACAUGGAGUAGGAGUGAGGAGAGAUGACUACAGAGGUCAGCAAGUACCCAUAAAAUGAAAAUUUAUUAUCCACAGUAAGGAGUUUGGUGGCAUUUAUCCUAAACGAAAUAGGAAAUAGUUUCAUUCUUUUAAGCAGUGGUUAAAACUAUCAGAUUGCUGCUUCUGAAACAUCGUUCUGGAUGUGAUGUAAAACGGGGACGAGGGAGGCAAGGGUCAGUAGGACCACUUAGGUGGUUACAGAAGCAAUUGAGGUGAGAUGCAAAGAGUGCUGAAACAAUGGUGGGAGUGAGGGAUCUGGAGAGAAUAGAUGCACUUAGUAAAUAUUAAAGAAGAAAAAUCAGUAGGAUUUGGUGACUGACGUUCUAUGCGGGAGUGAAGGAGAAAAAGGAUUUAAGGAUGACAUGCAGAUAGAGGGUGGUACCAUUCACUGAAACAGGGAAAAUAAGAGGAGGAGCAGACCUGCGUGAUAAAUUCUUAUAAGCAUGUUGCAGCCUGAGAGGCAGGCGUCGAAUUUUACACAUACUCCUAGGAGCCUGCGGGAACACUCCGGGGACGAGGACCGGUGGGCGCCAUUGUCAUGCUCUCCCUCUGCUGUGCUCCAGAGCUUCAGAAUCUCCCAGAAGAGAGCUUUUACACAAGUCUGCCCUGAUUUUUGUGGCUGCCACCUGCAGAUGCCUCUGGAGGACAGGGGAGCCUGUGUUCCUGGUCCCUUGAGACCGUAAUAAUUGGUGUCACCCAGAAAAGAGCUCAUACUCCUAUCUGGCACCUUGAUUUUUGUGAUUGCUGUCAGGGGACACCUCUGUAUCACAUGGCUCUGGUGGCCAAUGGGGCUUAUACUUGCGGGUCCCACAGGAUUGUGGCCAAUGGAGAAAGAGUACUUAAACAGGUACCACCCCCCAGGGCACAGCAAGAGGCCACAGACCCAGGUCCUCCUUCUUUCUGUGAAGGAGGCCUAUGAGCUAAGCAUCAUGACUGCGCCCGAGGGGCAGGCUUCUGAUUAAACAUGCAUCUUGGGGCUGACUGUGAUCCCUCGCAGAGACCUCUGAGGGUGGGAGCUGUCUUCAUGCUCACUCUCUGCCAUGCUCCGGGGUGCCAGUGUUUCCUGCAGGCAAGCUAUACGUGCAUCCAGUGCCCUGGUUUUUACCUCUGGUAUCCUGUUUUUAUUUUUAUUUUAUAUUGGAGUAUUGCUGAUUCACGAUGUUGUGAUAGUUUCGGGUGUACAGCAAAGUGAUUCAGUUAUACAUACACGUGCAUCUAUUCUUUUUCAAAUUCUUCUCCCAUUUAGGUUAUUAAAGAAUACUGAGCAGAGUCCCCUGUGCUAUACAGUAGGUCCUUGUGUGUUGUCCAUUUUAAAUACAGCAGUGUGCACAUGUCAAUCCCAAACUCCCCAUCUAUCCCUCCCCCCAACCACGCUUUUCCCAGGCUAACCAUAAGUUCAUUCUCUAAGUCUGUGACUCUGUUUCUGUUUUGUAAGUAAGUUCAUUUGUAUCUGAUACCCUGGUUUUUGUGGCUGCCACCCAAGGGAUGCUCCUUGAUCUGGUGGCUCUGUUGGCCAGGGUUGGAAGGAGUGGGUGUAGGGUUAGCAGUGGGAUGGAGGGGUGGGAGUGUAGGGAGGAGGCGGGGGGUGGCGGCUUGCAUUCCUGGGUCCCACAGGACUGUGGCAAUCAGAGAGGCAGUGCUUGGCAGGCUAUCACCGCCAGGGCACCGCACAGACAACGGACUGAAACACACCCCCAGUCUUUCUGCGAAGGUCUCUUUGCUUGUCCUGGAGCUUUGGCCUGAGGGCUGGCUUCAGGUCUGGCUCACAUUUAGUGGCCUACAGAGCUGCUUUCAAGGAAUGUAGGCUGUAGAAUGUAGCGCCCCUUGGCACUCUCCCUCCGCCUCGCGCCAGCUCACCACUAUCACCCAGAAAAGGAACUUACACACUCAUUUGGGGCCCUGAUUUCGGCAGCUGCCACCCAGGGGACCCCUCCAAAUCUUCCGACGCUGGUGGGCAUCAGGGGUUACACUUACAGUCCCACAGGACUGUAUAUAUCUACAUACUUAAAGGAAAAACUGAUCCUGAGGGUCUAGCUUGCAGUCAGCCUGAAUCUAGGUUCUGAGAGCCUCCCGUUUGAGACACUGACAGGUCUUAGCACAUCCUCAACUAUGAGGAGUUAGUAAAUAAUAACAGUAAGUCCCCCACAUACAAACCUUCAAGCUGCGAACUUUCAAAGAUGCAAACGUGCGUUCGCGUGUCCAAUCACGUAAGUUAGUUCACGUGUCUAGAGUACAUUGUCACAUCGCAUGCAUCUUCUACAAGUGGUUGUGCUUUUGUGUACUUUACUGUACAGUACUGUAUAGAGGACAGUAGUACAGCAUCUUUAUUUCAAGCCCAGGAUGUCUGGAAGCAAGUGUAAAAGCAGCAGUGAUAUACCUGGUACUUUUCAAGGUAAUGUACUGUAAGAUUAAAAAUGUUUUCUUUAUUUUUUGCGUUUGUUUUUUAUGUAUUAUUUGUGUGAAAAGUAUGAUAAACCUAUUACAGUACAGUACUAUAUAGCCGAUUGUCUUAGUUGGGUACCCAGGCUAACUCUGUUGGACUUGCCAACGAAUUAAACUUACGAACGCGCUCUUGGAAUGGAACUCGUUCAUAUGCAGGGGACUUACUGUAGUAGGCUGCUUGGACAAGCACAAAGGUUAGAGAGACAAACAGGAGCUGAGGCAGAGCUGAAUGACAAGGUUCAUCUCCUGCAUGAGGCUACUCCUUCAAAACUGGAAAAGGUUGUUGCUUCAUCUCUAUAGAAGCCAACACAGAGACACAGAGGGGUUGAAUGGAUGAAAAACCAAGACCCAUCCACAUGCUGCCUACAAGAGACUCCCUUUAGAUGUAAGGAUACACACAGACUGAAAGUGAAGGGAUGCAAAAAGAUAUCCCAUGCAACUAGAAGUUAAUUUCACGAGGAAACCUGGAAAAUCACACAGAUGUGGAGAUUGAAAAACAUGCCACUGAACAACCAAUGGAUCAUCUUGCUUUUCUAGAUUUUCUUGGGGACACAGCACAUACACUACCUAAGACUGACCUUGGUGAUGCAGUGGAUGCUCUCGUGUGCUUCUUGAGUGCUAGUUCAAUGCCAUUUUUACUGCCUAACCUCAGCGUUCUGACUCAGAGCUCUAAUGAGCAGAAAUUCCUCCUGGCCCAUCUAGAUAGAUCCCAACCAGCAACUCUGCUCCCAGUGCUGACUAUACUUGGUAUCUCUUUUACACACUUUAUUUUUAUUUCAAAGGGUAACAUUAGGAAGAGCAAAUCAGGUCUCCCUCUUUUUUGCCUGAAGACCACAGAAGUAAAUCUGUGGUUUCCUGAAAGCCUCAGACCAUACUGCUCAAAAAUGUCAAGGGUAAAGAUGAGAGACUAGGUUAAAUUUCUCCUGGGAUUCCUUUCAGCUGAAGGAUAUGUGAGAGAAAUUCAUCCGUUCAUCCAUCCACCCACCUGUCACUUUAUAUAUUUAUUCAACUCACUUUUAUUAUGUACCUCCUAUGACCAGCACUCUUCUUGAGCAUUAUGACUGCAUUAAUCUCUCACCUCUCCAGUAGAUCAUGAGGAUAGCGCCUGGCAAAGGGUAGACAAAUGAAUAUUUGCUGAAUGCAUAAAUGAGUGAACUAGGGAAUGGAUCUACUAGAAGAAAAUUAUAUCCCGAAGAUACGUCAGCAUGACUUCCUGGUUAUUCACGCCAGUGUUCUCUUCCAAAUGGCAAAGAUACAAUGCUGACUGUUAUUAAAAAUCUUCAUAAAUUCAGACACUGUUAUUUUGGAAUCUGUGGUAAUUUAGAAAAGGGCGGUAUUAGCUGGGAGGAAAAUAACCUCCGUAAAUAUUUUGAGGCGAAAAAUGUAAAACAUUUCAGAAAUCCCUUUAAACACUUAACUAGCCUCCAUAUAUGUGAAUUUAAAUUAUUUAUUAAUUAAAGGGAUUCCUUUAAGACCUCUGCUAAGUCAUUCUCUCUUGAGUAACUGAACAUUUUUAAAAGCAACACUAAGUCUGAAAGUAUUUUACAAUUUAAGGAUAUUCAGAUUUAUCUCCUGCAACUAGUCCCAAUUAAGGGGAGUUUUCUCAAAUUAUAAAACCUCUUGCAGUGAGAGACCCUGAAGCACUUCACAUGUAUUGGCUUAUUCUUUACGCCUCUAUCAUAAGAAGCAUGCAAGCAACAGUGCUGUCAAUUCUAAACUGAAAAGAGGUGUACUAAAGCCCUUCAGCGAGGUAAAACAAGCCACAGGGGGUCCUCGGGGAAGAGCACUCCAGGCAGAGAGAACAGCUCACGCUUCAGCCCUGAAGCAGGGUUCUUACCAUGGGGUCCCUGAACCUCAUGUAGGUUCAUAGAUGGAAUUCAGGGGUUUGUGACCUUUCCACUUACUCCAGCUGAGAUUUAGCAUUUCCAUCAACUAUGAACAUAAGCAACAAACCAAGGUAGCAGUACCUUGGAUGCUGAAGCCAAUGGAAAUCACAGAUAUUUUCAUAUCACAUUAUAAUUCUUACAGAUAUCUCACAAUAUCUUUUAUACCAUCACUACUUCAAAACUAUGGUAUUUAUUGGAUGAAUGUUAGCUUUUCAAUUGAAUGCAUUAGUAAAGAAACAUAUUAUUAGAUCGCAUACUUGCUUUAUUAAUAUUGUGAUAUCUGUAUUUUGAUUAUAAUUGGUUUUCUUUAUAAUAUAUAGUCUGCAUCUGAAAGCACUGUUCUGAGAAGCAGUCCCCUAGGCUUCAUCAGACUAGACUUCAGGGCAUGCUUCUCUUACUUUGGAAAAAGAUAAAAGAACACUGUGGCUGCAGGGAUGUGAGCAAGGUCAGAGAAAUGGCAGGUCGGGUGGGGGCUCAGAUCAUAGAGAGCCUUAUAGGUCAUUGUAAGGCUCUGGUUUUUAUUCUAAAGGCUUUGAAGAGUUGUGUGUUCUGACUCUUGAUUUUAAAGGACUCCUUGGACUGCUACGUUGAGAGUAGAUUGUAGGGGGCAAGGGCAGAGAGGGAGACCAGCGAGGAGGCUGUGAUUACAAUCCAGCCUAGAGAUGAUGGUGGGUUGGAGCAGCUUGGUAGCAACUGAAGUGGUGAGAAAUGUUCAGAUUCUGGAUAUAUUUUGAAGGAUUUCUCUGGGGAAUGGGGGAUUGAUGGAUAGAGGGCUAUGUCAGAGAGAAAUGCAGGUCAAAAAUGAUGUCAAGAUUUUAGGCUCACGCAACUGAAAUAAAGGCACUGCCAUUUUCUGAGACUCAGAGAAAAACUCCAUGAAGAAGCAAUUUUGGGAGCAAAACUCAGGCAUUCAGUUUUGGAUAAGUUAGGUUUGAAACAUCUGAUAUUCACUGAGGGAUGCUGAACAGGCACUUGGAUCUGUUCACCUAGGCUUAGAGGAAAGGUCUGGGCUGGAAAUACAAAUCUAGGAGUUGUCAGCAUACAGAUGACAUUUGAAUCCUUGAGCAUGAAUGAGAUCGAUGAGGGAGUGAGUACAGCUAGAGAGCAGAAAACGUCUGAGGACUAGUCCUGAGGUACCUUAACUUAGAGAUCAGAGAUGUGAGGCAAAGCCAGCGGAGGAGGCUGAAAAGGAACAGGUGAUACGGUGGGUGUAGAACUGGGAGCGUGGUUUCCCAGAAGCUGAUGAGAAAGUAUUUCACGAAGGAGGGAGGGAAUAGCCACUGUCAAAUGCAGUCACUGUCAAAGGGCCAAGUAAAAGGUCUGAGGAUUGACCACUGAAUUGGCAAUGUACAGACUUACAUGGUGGGCCUGUUGGUAACCUUGACGACAGCUCUGAAGGUUGAAUGGUGUGGAUAAACUUGGCUGGAGUGAGCUCACGAGAGGAUGAAGGAAGAUGAAAUUGGAGACUGUACAAACUACUCUUGAGGCAUUUUGCUAUGAUGGAAAUCGAGGAAUGAGGCAGUAGCUGGAGGGGGGAGUGGAGUCAAGGUCAGGCUAUCUAAAGGUGGCUUCACUCACCUGGAAUUUGCAAAAUCUUCCUAACCAUUCUCACUGCUCCCACACUGGCCUUCCUUUCACUCUUUGAUUUCCUAGUCUAUUUUCAACAUGGUAGCCAGAGUGUUUUUCCUAAAACAUAAGUCAGAUCAUGUCAUUCCUCCAAUGGCUUCCAUCUCAUUCAGAAUAAAAACAGAGUGCUUAUGAUGGCUUAUAUGGCGCUACGUGAUCUGCCUCUAUCAUCUCAAAAAAAAAAAAAAAAAACCAGAAAAAAAAAGUGCUGAGAGCCAGAGAGAGACAGAUUCUUGAUGAAAUCAUUUAUGUUCCUGAAUCUAGAUGUGUCCAAAGUUAGUGCACCCUAGGACUUUUCAGUUUCCAGAGCCAGUAACUUCUCUAUUUUUCUUGAGCCAGUUUGAGGUGGGUCUCUGACACUUGUAACCACGGGCGUCUGGACUAAAAAUGUAGGUAAGAAAACAACCCAGAUGGCCAAAUGGUCACAGCAGCACGCACUUCUGGGAACAAACUGGCAUCACCGUAUUCCAAAAGAAAAUGUCGGAGAUAAGAAGUUUGCAUCGAGGAGGAUAAGACCACAGCAGAAUAUGGCCCGACCUCUUCCUCCUCACUCUACACAACUAACCUGGCCAAGUUCAUCAGCUUUUAAGAACACAGUGAUAAUUCCUAUGCUGACAAUGCCCACAUCUGCCUGUCCAACCUGAACCCGUCCCUCGAGUUCAACACCAACAGUUCCUGGACAUCUCCCAUCCGCGAGUCCCAAAGGUGCCUCAAACGCAGUAAGUCCCACAGCAAAUUCAUUUUGCUGUAGGCUUGUUCCACAUCUCCCUGUAGGCUUGUUCCGCAUCAUCAUUUCAGCACCGCAUCUAUCCAACCUCCCCACCUCGGAGCCUCAGAGCCACGCCCGGAUCUCGCCUCUGCAUCCUUCAUGUUUCAUUUGCCACCAAGUUAGAAAAAAAAAUCACUUCUAACUUAGGAUGUUCCUGGAUCAUCUCUUCUUCUCCACUCUCACGGUCAGUGUUGUGGCUCAGGGCCAGAGUUCCUGCCUUAGUUACUGAAGCAACCUCUUAGCUGGAUUCCCCACUUCCCAACAAUUCUUGUUUUUUUUUUAAAUUUUUAUUGGAGUAUAGUUGAUUUACAACGUUCUGUUAGUUUCAGGUGUACAGCAACGUGAAACAGUUAUACACAUACGUAUAUCCACUCUUCUUUAGAUUCUUUUCCCAAAUAGGUCAUUAUAGAGUAUUGAGUACCUCCUACACCAUUGGUGGGAAUGUAAGUUGGGACAACCAUUAUGGAAAACAGUAUGGAGGUUCCUUAAAAAACUAAUUACAGAACUACUGUAUGAUCCAGCAAUCCCACUCCUGGGCCAACAAUUCUUCAUGCAAAGUCGGAGGGAGCAAAGUGCUGGGCCCUGACUGCCUUCAGAAGCUCGUGGCCCUGGCAUUGUCAGUUCCACAUCACUUAGCUCCAGCCACACUCCUAGCCUGACUUUCCAACCCUCCUGCUGGUUCUCUCCUUGCACAGACCUCAGACUGUAGCCAAUUCCGUGUCCUGCAGCAAGCCUGCCCUUGCAUGCCAGCUGUCCUACUCAUGCUCUUCACUCUGGAAUGUUCGUUCCUACCUUUUCAUCUUCAUGGGCCUGGUCACACCUCCUGGGACCUCCCACAGUGAGCUGCCUGUCUACUCCUCCCAGUUCCUACAGCGUUGUAUUCGUGCGCACACUAUCGCAUUGACCACGUUAUGUCAUGGUCAGUAUCGCAUCUUUCUGGGAGCUCCUUGCUGUCAGCUGGGCGUGUAGGAGGUGCUCAGAAGAGUGUGUUGAAUUGAAAGCAUUCAAGGCUCUUUCUGGCGACGGCCAUUCUGACCGGUGUGAGGUGAUACCUCAUUGUAGUUUUGAUUCACAUUUCUCUAAUAAUCAGUGAUGUUGAGCAAAAUUGGGUCAUUUGUAGAGAUGUGGAUGGACCUAGAGUAUGUCGUACAGGGUGAAGUAAGUCAGAAAGAGAAAAACAAAUAGCGUAUAUUAACGCAUAUAUGUGGAGUCUAGAAAAAUGGUACCGAUGAACCUAUUUGUAGGGCAGGAAUAGAGAUGCAGACAUAGAGAACGGACAUGCGGACAUGAGGGGGGAAGGGGAAGGGGAGAUGAAUUAGGAGAUUAGGAUUGACAUAUAUACACUACCAUGUGUAAAACAGAUAGCUAGUGGGAACCUGCUGUAUAGCACAGGGAGCUCAGCUCGGUGCUCUGUGAUGACCUAGAUGGGUGGGAUGGGGGCGGCUGUGGGAGGGAGGCCCAAGAGGGAGGGGAUAGAUGUAUACAUAUAGCUGAUUCACUUCGGUGUACAGGAGAAACUAACACAACAUUGUAAAGCAAUUAUACUCCAAUAAUAAUAAUUUUUAAAAAAGCGUUCAAGGCUCUUGUUAUGGACUGGAUGUUCAUGCUUCAUUCCUCCCACCUCCACCACCAAAUUUAUCUGUGGAAGCCCUAAACACCCAUAGGAUGGCAUUUGGAAAUGGGGCUUUGGGAAGGUAAUGAGCUUUAGAUGAGUUCAUGAGGGUACAUCUCCCAUGAUGGGAUGAGUACCCUUAUAAAAAAAAAAGGAAGAUAGUGGAGAUCUCGCUCUCUUUCCAUCAUGUGAGGAAACACUGAGAAGAUGGCUGUCUGUAAGCCAGGAGGAGUUCUCACCAGACACCGAGCCUUCCGGCACCUUGACCUUGGACUUCCCAGCCUCCAACACUGGGAGAAAUAAAUGUCUGUUGUUUUAGCCACCCAGUCUAUGGUAUUUUGGUAUAACAGCCUAAGAGAAGGCAGCUGUAGAGGAGGACUUGACUCUGGGGUUGUUGCCUGUCAUAGGGCUCACCCGUCCUCAAGGCCUUAGGAAACAGGUUCUGCUGCAUUCACACCCCUGGCUGGCUGAGACCCUAAGGGAAGGAUGUCACCUUACAGCAUCUAGGGGGCGCAGUCUCAAUUCCUGCAGUGCCAUCCUGCUCUGGCCCACCAGCUCGGCGUGACCAGGCUCCUCUGGCUACGCAGGGCUCCUGACAACCUCCAGAGCCUCUCCGCAGUUCAGCCGACCCGAAGUCUGAGCUGCAGAUGAUUCCACGAGGGGAAUGAGCUCCCGUUUCAGGGUGCUCCCUGAAGGCACCCCAUCUCAGUUGUUCUGAAACGCGGAGCAGGGGCUGGUGAGGAUGGUGGUGUGAACGCUGUGCUCAGGAAUUCUGCGGUUCAUCUCAGCAGAACUUACCGUUCAGCAGAAAUGUUUUAAAAAAGGGAAACCUCCUAGCAUGAUUUUUUUGGAGUCCAUUUUGGUCACUAGUUAUUCUGAUUCUCUAUGACUUCCUAGUUGCUUUCAGUCUCCCGUGCCUGUGCUUACAUCACUUGGUGUAGGAGACGACACAUCUGCCACUCAGACUGUCCCCCCACCAACAGUCGCCUACACCUUUACGCAGACAAGAAUCCAUCACAUCCACUGAAUGCUCUGGGAGUGCCUACCAUGUGCCCGCACUCCUCUAGGUGCUGGGGUCCUAGCUUUGCUGGAACGCCGAACAUCAGCUUCUCCCACCGCUAGGCUUUCAGCAGAGUACAAGAAGGGUAAGACUCCUCUCGGGAGUCGGCCUCUUUUUUCAGCAAUCUAAGGAGACACACUCUAUGGGCCUCUCACUUCGUAUGAGGCCUCAGGCAACCAUCAGCCAGAGAGUUUCCUCAGGGCUGAGACAUGCAGACUGACCUCAGGAACCCCAGAGCAGUGCAUUACACACAGCAGGCGUGUUGAAAUAAACUGAAUGGAACAAACUACAGGUCGGAGAAAUUGUUCUGAUCUACAGUAUAUAACUCUGGUUUUCUUUUUUCUUUCUUUUUUUUUAAGCUUUAGAGCUCUUUCAUUUCAUUUUUUUAAAAAUAUUUAUUUUUAAAAUUUAUUUAUUUUUACUUUUUGGCCGCACGGGGUCUUAGCUGCAGUGCGCAGGCUCUUCGUGGCCGCACACAGGCUUCUCUCUAGCUGAGGCGUACGGGCUCAGUAGUUGUGGCGCACAGGCUUAGCUGCCCCGCGGCACAUGAGAUCUUAGUUCCCCGACCAGGGAUCGAACCCAUGUCCCCUGCAUCGGUAGGCGGAUUAUUAACGACUGGACCACCAGGGAAGUCCCUCUGGUUGUCUUCUAAAGAGGGUGAUGCUUCUCCUUCAGAAUAUCUUGCAAGGUUUAGAUGCGUGCAUUUGUAGGCAGGGGUUGUGUAAGAGGGAGAGAAGAAUCUAGAGUUCCUAUGGCGAUCCCAGGAGGUUAGGGGUGAGGACAGGAAGGCUGAGGGUGAAGGAGAACAGGGAGAAGAAGGGCUGAGUCAUGACAUGCCAUUGCCAUGACCCCUGCAUCUUCGACCUUGCUUGAAAACCUUGCCAAAUGCUUGGUAUUAAUGGAUGUCCUCCUAUGAGCAGAAAUCAGUCAAGGAAGUGAGUUUUUCAUCCUUGGUUGAUGGAGGGCAAAAGAGAGACCAUACCAGGUCGGUGCAACAGAGAGUGAGAAGCAGAGGGUCCAGGGCAGUGUAAGCCCCCCAAGAACUCUCCGAAGUCACUUCCAGAAGGCUUUGGAAUCUCCAAACCCUUCUGGAACUGACAGGGGCCAGAGACAAUUUAAACCUAAACCUCCACAUGGCAAGGGUAUGAUACUGAGCUUACACAGAUAGUAAUGUCCUACACAGAUAAGGAAUUUCAGAAAACAAAACUAAACUUGGCAACUUUUUAGAUGUAAAGGGGGAGACAGGUCUCCAGUGCUGAGGAAAGGAGCUGACCCUGCAACUCAGCACCUAGAGCAUCACUGCACCUGUGACUGUUUUCAAAGAACCGCAGAGGCCAGAGGAAACUCAAAUGGAAUUCUUUAUGGUCUUUCAAACCUACAAAUGUUUGCUCUGUUGAAACAGCCAUAAAAUGUCAGAAACAGUUUAAACUUAUUUAUCUAACCUCAAAGACAGGCUAUUUCCCCCAAGACUUACAGCUCUGAAAUAUUCAACGUUCUGUUUCCACAAUGCUGAAAUCGUUUUUGAAAGGCAAAUGUUAUGGAAAAAAAGUUCAGAUCUGGAGGGGCUGUGAAAAACACGUGUUGCAAAAAGUCUGCACCUCUGGGGUGUCUUUAAAAUAGUCACUGUUUAAAGACAAAUUUCCUUCACCCUUGAAGGGCUCAUGAAAUAUUCUAUAAAAUCCUUGGCCUCUUCAGACUGCUCUAAAAUGCUAGAUUUUUCUAUCAAUGUAUCACAUAUAUUACACUUGUAUGUUUUGUUCAUCGGUUUGUUUCCUCCAGCUACUCAACACUCAUACUGUUUUUUUUUCACAGAUGAAAACUGAACAUUUAAGCUACCACUAGUCACCUCCAGGGCAUGGGAAGAAAUGAUGUUGCCAGUUUAUAAGAUUAGAGGCAAACUGAACACAGUGUAGGCAAAGCACAAAGGGAAUCGUUACUAAUCAAUGAAACAAAUGAACAAGAGUUCACAGUUUCAGUGUCAAAGAGAAUAUCUCAAAGCUACUAGCACAAAAGGUACAUACCCUUGACUGGUGCGUCAAUCUUCACAAUGCAGUACAUUUUGCAAGGCAUUUCCCUCUUUUGAGUUAACUGCAUACCCUUUUGUUCUUUUGGCAAUAGAUAUGUAACUGUGUUUUUUGGAUAUAAAGGAUUAUCCUUCAGUGAGGCCAUAUCCAGAACUUCCUCCAGAUAUAAGGCUCUGGCUUUUACCAUUCACAGAAUUCUCUCGAAUAGCUACGGAAGUACUUCCUCUUUAGUAGAAUUAUGUUAACAGAUGGACAUAAUCAGGUCCCCAAGUAAUUUGAUCUGAGGACCUUAGAAACAAUCUGGGUCAUAGCAUCGAGCCCCAAUUCCAUAAUCCAGAGUCUUUCCUCAGAGGUCUUUGAAACGUGUUCAUUUUGCCGUAGAGGAAGGGUGCCAGCAAGUCCUCUUCCUGGUGUGGUCAGCCCUGGCCUCUCAGUAACCCUGGGCUCCUGCUUGGCUUGGGACUGAGCAGUUCUCUUUAACUCCAACAGUCGCACCUCACAAGCACUACACAGUUCACUGCUGGAUAGUGUCCUCUGGGGUCUCGUUUACAGGCUAGAAAGGACCCCUGAGAGUUAUUCUAUAUAUUACCUGAAAACCGAAAACCUCCAGUGGUUCCCUGAAGAACAAGACUCAAAGUCAAAGCUGGUGCAAAUCAAGCGCAGGGAUGCAUGCUGGAGUUUACAAGUGGUGACAACCGCUGACCCCAGCACAGCAGCUCAAAUGGGGCUACUCUUGGGACAUUCGGAGGCCCUUCCUGAUCAGCAUCAAUUUUGGUAAUCUAUCAAUGUAACGCUGGGACGUGGAUCGACAAAGAGCUUUGAUACGUUCCUUAAAAGCUACGUUCAAUGUAUGGCUUGUUUAGAAGUCAUACACCAUGACCUACAAGUUGAUCUUGCUGUGGCCACCAGCAAACCCUGGGAACCACGUGUGGGCUGCUGUCAGUGGAGCUCCCGGGGUGAUCUCUCAAGGCUUGGUUGACUCCCCAAGGCUCCCUUUCCUCCUCCCUCAAGGCACUGACGCUUCUCUUGUGUCUCUGAGCUGCCCCACUUACCCUGCUGAGCAGUUCCUCUCUCCUUAGGAGUGAUGGGGAGUAAGAUUCGGUUUUCCUAGCUCCAUAGCUUUGACACUUCUUGGAGGAGAAAAGCACAAAAGCCCUUCAAUGUACGGGUACCACUGCUCACAACAGCUCAUCCUCCGGCCCCGGGAACCUCACCGUUCUCACCUCACUGUGGGUAAUCGCUAAGAUUUUCUACGUGCCUUCUCUCCACUAGGGACUUAGUUGCUAUUCUCUUUUAUCACUUGGAAAGUUUCUACUAAUUCUUAAAGAGCCAUCUUAAGGCCGCUCUUCCAUGACCCCCUCUGACACUGAAGCUGAUUGUUCCUUUGUGGACCUUUGAACAUGCUGACAUGCCUAUUCCACCUUCAGAAUGAGCCCAGAGCAUGGCCCCGGCCCUGCCAUUUAACCCGUUUCUGGUUCGCUCCUUGUUACCCACUGUUGCCUGAGGGAGAGUCUCUCAUUUUGAGACAACAUUUGAGAUAAGUUCCAGGAGACACUUUGGCCCCAGUUACUGGCUAAAGCACUGGCUCUUAACCUUAACCUUGGCUACACAUUAGAAUCUUCUCGGAAGCUUUAAAAAACCUUGGUUCUCAGGCCAUAUCGCAGACAAAUUAAAUCAGGCUCUCUCAGGGCAGGGUGGGGUGGGGUCGGAGGUGAUGUCCAGGUCUGAACUGACACUACCCAUGGUAAUAAAAUGGCUUCAGCAGAUUGUCUGUCAGUCAUGAAAAUGAACACAUGGGUAUUCAAUUAUCAAAUACAUAACUGGUGGGAAUAAAUGAAUGAAAAAUAAGAAGAAAGAGAGGGGCUCCUAAAUUGGGAUGUUACUAAAGAUGCUGAAAUUCUAUUCCGGUCCUGUUAUUGCACCCUAAUGUGGGGUGUUCUCACAGUGACUCUUUUUCUAACAUCAAUAGUUCCUGAAUGCCUUUUUCAGGCUGUACCAAGAAGCUUUUAAAAAUUCCUGGAGGUUGAAUUCCAACUAAAUUUCCUCUCCUCAAGUCCCCACCUUCUGUGGCACCCUGCUCUCUCUCCAGGAAGGUGCAAUUAGGGCAGAGGAGUGAACGUGGACAAACAAGUCAUCCGAGGGCUUCUGAUGGUUCUGUGUGUAUAACACGAGAAGGAUUCCUCCAGAGUCCACAGCUAUCCUGAGCUCUCCAUCCAUGUCCAGGGGAUCUCAGAGCAUAAAAGAGCUAAAGUUGAGACCCCUGGGGGGCAGAGAGAAAGUAGGGCCUUUCUAACAAGAUAAGCAGAUACGAUUGGUUUGAGGCGUUGCCUCUUACUGCCUUUAAAGGAAAGCUCCCCAACUGCUCCCUAGCAGAUCUCAGACAGGUCUGGGGAGCUCAGCACCGACCACUCUGGCUUCCGCUCCGACAGCAUCUGAGGAGCCAAGAGGACAGGGGGCCCGCCCCAGGCACCACUCGGAGACCCGGGGGAGUGAAGCAACUUGUCACAUUAGAAACCUGAGCUUCAGAAGCUCACCAAGAGAAGACCUGAAGUCGGAAAGCAAAGAGGAGGAGCCCAGGAGGAACCCUGCCUACGGGAUCAGCAUCCAGCAGGCUCCCCCAGGACCGAGUCAUUACAAUUUAGGUGGGCUUAAUGCGUCUUCAUAUCAGAACUGUGGUAAUGAAAAACCAUGGGGGUAAAAGCUAUCAUGGCAGAGAGCUUACGUAUUAGUUUGGGAGUCAUAAGCCCUAUUCUAGUGUUCCAACCAGUGGCUUUCAAACAGUAGCAGAACCGAUUCUUAACCUUUUUUUUUUUAUGUAUAUAUAAGGAAGUCCAAUUCACAAAACUGCAGAAACGUGGAGGUCUCUUAGUUGUACUGUAUGCUGUGGGAGAGGGUAGGUAGGGUUGAAAGGUAAGUUUGGGGUCCCUGACAAGGCUCCAUGGAACCUAUAGUUUGAAACUCGGUCUCUCCACUGGUCUGUUGAUGGCGCAUAGAAGAAAGGUGCAUGGUUAUUUGGAGGACAGAGAAUAAAUGGACACAACAUAAAAUUACAUGAUAAAAGGCCUCGUGGGCCAGCUGUUUUUACAAUGUGAAGGGGUGAAGGUUAACACAGUGCUGGGUGUCUGUGAAGUUUUCAGGGCAGAGAAACAUAUUGGUGGGACUGAUGACACGAGUGGGGAACAGAUAUUUGGGGAGGAAAGAAGUGUUGCUGAUGACAGGACUGGCCCACGAGAGCUGUGGUCUGAAUGCUUCAAGAGAAGGCGGGACUCGGUCUCUGCAGAAACAGAAGCCCAAGCACAUGGCUUUUUUUGCAGUAAGUAUGCAAUUUGCUUGAAUAGCCCUUUCUGUUUUUCAUUCUGCACAUCUAGCUACCUUAUGCCAGCAUUUCCUUCUACUUCUUGACUGUGUAGAGAUUCACGUUUCCUCCAAAUGGGAAAUUGAGAUGGAUCAAAGGAGAAGAAAAUCAUGUUCCAAGGAGCAUUCAGAAUCUUCAGCGGAUCUUCAAAGAACAGAAAAUUGCUUUACAUAAUCCAAGUAUGAGUACAAAGAGGUCUGGGGCAAGUAUAUCAAGGGUUAGGUGAGGCAGUGGGGAGUCACUACCGCAUGGUGCUACUGCAGUGAUGGGUGAGGUAUGCAUCAAGGUGGGGCCUCAAUCCUCCUGGGGACAGAGGGGGGACACUCAGGUAGACCUCUGGCCUAACACUGGCCGGCACCCUGCAGGCUGGCGAGAGGCCAGCCUCUCCGUGAACUCUGCCUGGAUCCUAGAUCUCCCACCAUGGGACAGUUCUCCAGUGGGCACUGGCUGCUGCUCAUACCUGAGCCUCUGAAACCUUGUCCCUAAGCUGCAGCACUUCCCAAGUCCUGCCGCAGACCUCUGCUUUGACGCUCUCCUCUCUGAUUAGACCACCUGGGUGCCCAUUCUGCUGUCUCAAGUCCAGAGCCUCCUUCUCCCUCCAGUUCCUUUGGAGUCACACAGACUUGGGAUUAAAUCUUAGCUGCCACACUCGUUACAUAUAUACACACGGGUAAGUAACUGCACGUAGGGACUUCGCUGGCGGUCAGUGGCUAAGGCUUCGCCUUCCAAUGCAGGGGGGGCGGGUUUGAUCCCUGGUCGGGGAGCUAAGAUCUCACAUGCCUCGUGGCCAAAAAACCAAAACAUAAAACAGAAGCAAUGUUGUAACAAAUUCAAUAAAGACUUUAAAAAUGGUCCACGUCAAAAAACAGAUCUUAAAAAAAACAGUAAUUGCACAUUUCUGAGCAUGUUUACUCUUUAGCAACACAAAGAUAAUGAUAAUAUCCACCUCAUAGCCUAUUCAAGCAGACACGUAUUAGGUACUCAAGUUAUUGUUAUCUGGGGUGAUGAGUGUUGAUGGUUUUUUAAUAUGUUUCUUACUGAGAUGCUGCCUGUCAGCAUAUAAUCCUUAGCUCUUUGCAAUGUAGUUUCUCUCCAUGUUUGACUUACCUCUGUGUCAACGUCCCAGCCCUAGCCUGGGGACGACUGUGUCCCAGAUCCUCAAUUAAUGACACAUCCAUUGCUAACUGCUUGAUAUGCCUGCUCUCUCUUGGAUAAGCUCUCCAGAGGCACGGAAUCCUAAUUUAAUAUCUUGAGUGCCUGGCUCCACAAUCCAAUCAAUGACCAGCGAUGCGAUUUCACUGAGCUUAAUUUAUGGCUUUCUGCAGUUUCUUUUCCCCCCCAACUUUGCAUCCAUACUGUAGACAGAACGUUCUCUUUAAACACAGAUUGGGUCAUACCAUCACUCUACUUAAAACAUUUCUUGGGACUUCCUUGGCGAUCCAGUGGUUAAGACUCCACGCUUCCAAUGCAGGAGGUGCGGAUUUGAUCCCUGGUCAGGGAACUAAGAUCCCACGUGCCGCGAGGUGGAGCCAAAAAUUAAAAAGCAAAAAAUUUUUGCCUCCCCGCCUCCAAUAAAAGGAAGUCCAAGGGUUUUAGCGUGGCAUUAAAAGCCCUUCAAAAUCUGGUCCCAAUGUGUACUUCCAAACCCACCUCUUCCCACCUCCCUCACACCCUCUGCUUUAAGUCACGUGGAUCUGCUUAUGGUUUUGCAAAUAAGCCAGGAGCUCUCAUGUUUCUGUGCUUUCGCACAUAUGUUGUUUCAACAAAAAUGGCCUUCCUUUUUGUUCCAAGUGGCCUGGUUAUAGUGUCAUCUCUUCUGUCAGCCUUCUCCGAUCCUUUGGGAGCCUUAACUAUUCUCUCCUCCAUGUGGCUUCAUAAAAACUUACAUUUCGCAUUUGCUAUAUCAUAGUUUCCUUGUCUAUAUAUCUGGAAAAACAAGAUUUUGUUCAUCUCUGUACACUAAGGAACUAGACUGGGCUUAGCAGAUGCUUAGUGAAUGCUUGCUAAAUGGAUGGAAAGAUGGAUGGAAUUUCCAGCCAUCUGUGAUUGAUUGUUUGAUUGAAUAUAGGGUUCAGAGAGGAGAAUGGUGAGAAAAUGUCUUUAUCAUAGGCAGACGUAGGAAAAACAAGGGAGGGGGGAUAGGCUUUUUGAGUGGGAGAAGAGCAUUUAAACAUACUAUAAAAAAAUUAGCUAUUUCAAGGAUUGUAUAUGGUGUAAAUAAGAGAUAAACAUAGUACAGAAUAGGGGAUACAUUUCAAAAACUAGAGAUGAAGCAAAAUAAAUUAGCUUUAAUUUAGAAUAUGGUCAAAAGCACUAAAAUGUUCGGUUCAUAAAACAAGAGGAAGCAGAUUAUCCUCAGGUUUUCUCUAAGUAUUCUGAAACUUAUAUGGAAAAUGUUGUGGGUAAAUGUAUUUUUCUGGAGAGAGAGUUUUUUGCGGGGCGUGGGGGGUGGUCAAAGGGAUUUGUGACUUAAAGAUGUUAAAUCACUGCGACUGAGUUCCACACUGCAUAAUGUCAACCAGUAGUUGUCGGGGGAAAAUAACUGUCAGACACAUGAGGCUGUGUUCAGGAAUUUAAGCAUAUAAUCUUGCUGCACCACAAAAAUUUUCUCAAAGUCCUCCCCUGUAAGGGAAAUCAUUAAAGCCAGUAAAGAAAGCUAAUAAUUCACUUAGACAUCAGCAAAACUCUCGGUAUAUUUCACAGCAUCUUAAGCCUAAAAAAUUCUCCGGAUUAAGAAGAUACUUUUAAAUUUAUGUAAUAUGUUUCUUCUGAAACUGACCAGCAUCUCUUAGGUAUUCAUCUCAUGGAGCACCAAGCAUCCUGCUGCUACCUGCUUAGACCCUUGCUUCCCACCAUCUGCUUGUACACACACUGUGUGCACUCAGCUUUGUACCUUCUACCUACUUAUUCCCCCAUCCUCUCCUAUCAAUGGGGAACUCAGAAAUGACAGAGGUGUAGGGCUUAAAUCUAUAUCACUAGUAAGUUUAGACUUUCUAGAAAGCAAUUUGCCUUAUUUGCUUUAGUUCUUUUUAAGCAAUAGAGCAUUACACCUACAGCUAAAGUUCUGUCCCUAAACUGUGCUUUCUUCUUUUCUCUCCCAGGAGUACCAACAAUCCUGACAUUGGUAUAUGUCCUUCCCAUGAAUGUUUGUAUAUUUUUGCCAUAUAGUCAUACACCCAUAAAUAAAAUAUAUGAUUGUGCCGUAAGUUUUAACUUUACAUGCUAAUAUAUUGGAUUGAUUUUAAUGAGAUAUAAUUUAAAUACUAUAAAAUUCACCCUCUCAAAGUAUACAAUUCGGUGUGUUUUUUUUUUAGUGUAUUCAUAAAGUUGUGCAACCAUCAGUACUAUCUAAUUCCAGAACAUUUUCAUCACCGCAAAAAGACACCCGUGCCUAUUAGUCAUUCCUCUCCAUUCUCUUGCAUUUUCCUCUCCUCUUCGCCACUGGCAGCCUUUAAUCGGUCUCUACGGAUGUGCCUGCUCUAGUCGUUUCAUGGGUAUGUAACCAUACACUGUGCUCUUUUGUGUCUGGCUUCUUUCACUUACCAUCAUUUUUAAAGAUUCAUCCAUGUUUUAGCAUGUAUCAAUAUUUCAUUCCUUUUUAUGACCAAAUAAAACCCCAUUGUACGGAUAUACUACAUUUUCUUUAUCCAUCCAUUAGCUGAUGGAUAUUUAGGUUGUUUCCACUGUUUGGCUGUUAGAAAUAAAGUUGCUAUGAGCAUUCGGGUAC